GCGCAGCAGGCGAGAAACUUUACAAUGUGCGAAAGCACGAUAAGGGAACUCUGAGUGCCCUCCUAAGGAGGCUGUUCGGGUGUACUAAAAGCACCUGGAGUAAGGGCUGGGUAAGACCGGUGCCAGCCGCCGCGGUAACACCGGCAGCCCAGGUGGUAGCCACUUUUAUUGGGUCUAAAGCGUCCGUAGCCGGUUGAGUAAGUUCCUUGGGAAAUUUGGCUGCUCGACAGUCAAGCUUCCAGGGAAUACUGCUCGACUUGGGGACUGGGGAGAGGUCAGGGGGUACUCCGAGGGGUAGGGGUGAAAUCCAUUAAUCCCUGGGGGACCACCGGUAGCGAAGGCGUCUGACCAGACCAGGUCCGACGGUGAGGGACGAAGGCUAGGGUCGCGAACCGGAUUAGAUACCCGCGUAGU
rnacentral:rRNA from 1 species